rnacentral:lncRNA from 10 species
CUGGUCUCCGCGCAUUGGUGGUAGUGGUCCCCCGGGCCCAGCUGCUUUUUCUCUUGUUUCUUUGUCUUGUGUCUUUAUUUCUACACUCUCUCAUCACCGCACACAGGGAGAGACCCACUGACCCUGUGGGGCUGGUCCCUACAUCUGGCUCUCCGACGUGGGGCUCUCCCUCGCUGUGUGAAGUUGCACCCUGAGUGCAGGAUCAGCGGAGGAGUUCAACGAGAGAUUCCUGAAGAUUGCAGUCAAUAAACUUGGUGGAAAAGGACUACAACCUGUGUGGGUCCCCUCCCGACAAUUAAAACUGCACCAUAACUCCAAAGAUGAAACGCUCCCAGAAACAAAAGGCAAAGACCCAUCGGAAACAAAAGAGCAACUUUCACCGCCUGACACAUACCCUUCGUGACAUCCACAUUGAGACAAAAUCUCGCCGUGUGACCUACAACACCUCUCGUUCAACUCCACCUACUUGGGGUCAAAUAAAGAUGUUAUCUCAUCAAACAGAAAAA